AUUUUAUCACGGUUUAUUAAGUUUUUUAGAUGCCCGAUGUUUCGGAUACUUUCCAGCGACCAUGGUCACGGGUGGACACAAAACUUAACAAACCGCGAUAAAAUUUGAAAAAUUUGUUUCGUUAUAAUGAGCGAAAUUCGCGUAUACAUUAUAAAACAAUUAUUCUU